AGCUCCCUGGGCUGCUACCAAACACGGCCCUAACUCCUCCAACCCCCUUGGUGGGCAUGUGUUCACUGUGGCAGGAGCUGACUCCAGACUAUAGCAUGGAGAGCCACCAGCGGGACCACGAGAACUACGUGGCGUGUUCACGCAGCCACCGGCGCCGAGCCAAGGCCCUGCUGGACUUUGAGCGGCACGACGAUGACGAGCUGGGCUUCCGCAAGAACGACAUCAUCACAGUGCGUGGGGCGCUGGACUACCAGGUCCUCAGGCUGUGGCGGGUUCCCCAGCCUCCCUCCACCAAGCCCCACCCCAACCCCUUUCCCUGUCAAGAGCUUCUCUUGUGAAGAUGUAGGGGGUCUUGGACUGGCCUAGUUGCUGAGGAGUCAUAUCGGGGGUGCAGGAGGCGCUGGCCCAGGGUACCCAGCUUUGGUUCCUGCUGUUUUUCCUCCUGUGCAGAUCGUGUCUCAGAAGGACGAGCACUGCUGGGUGGGGGAGCUCAACGGCCUACGAGGCUGGUUUCCAGCCAAGUUCGUGGAAGUCCUGGAUGAGCGCAGCAAAGAGUACUCCAUCGCGGGGGACGACUCGGUGACGGAGGGCGUCACAGACCUCGUGCGAGGGACCCUCUGCCCGGCCCUUAAGGCCCUGUUCGAACAUGGACUGAAGAAGCCAUCCCUGCUUGGGGGCGCCUGCCACCCCUGGCUGUUUAUCGAGGAGGCUGCAGGCCGGGAGGUCGAGAGAGACUUUGCCUCCGUGUAUUCCCGCCUGGUGCUCUGUA
rnacentral:sRNA from 1 species